rnacentral:lncRNA from 1 species
AUGCCACAAACUUUGUCGUUGGGUGUUGCCAUCAUCCUAACUGUAGUGAUCGGCGGUACUACAGUCCUGAUAACCGGAGCGAUCUUGGAGAUUUUCUACAGGGCAAAAAAUAAAGGAGGCUGUACAAGGUCAGCCACAUCAGGACUAUCUGAACGUGAAACUCCUGGCUCUUUGGCAGAAGACGACUCUGAUGAAGACUACAUCAGCCUUCAGCAGCCAACAAGUGAUCUCUACCAAACCAUCUCAAAUCCAGCCAGCAACAAUGUGACCGUCCACUUGGAUAACCUGAAAAAAGGUGACAGAGAGUCUGAUCCAAGUUUCACAGACUAUGAAAACAUUUAA